ACAUGAAGGAGAAAUGUUAAAGGAAUCCCAGAUCAAUCAAGAACAUUUGAGGGCAGAACUGGAAGAGGCCAAAGUUUCUUUGCAAAAAACAGAGAUUGGAGAAAUAUGAAGAUGAAUCAAAACUACUUACCUUGGAGCUGAGAAAUAAGUCUGCUGAAUUGGAAGAGAUGACUAAACUAAAAUGUGACAAAGAAAUGCAACUUGAAGAGCUGUCAGAGACACUGAAAGAAAUCCAUGAUCUGAAAGUACAACUGACUAGUACAGCUGAAAAGGAACAAAAUUAUUUAAAACAGCUUAUGACACUGAAUACAGAUCUUGAGCGAGAGGCGU
rnacentral:lncRNA from 1 species